rnacentral:rRNA from 1 species
UACGUAGGGUGCGAGCGUUAAUCGGAAUUACUGGGCGUAAAGCGCGUGUAGGCGGCAGGGCAAGUCGGAUGUGAAAGCCCACGGCUCAACCGUGGAAGUGCACCCGAAACUGCCCCGCUAGAGUCUCGGAGAGGAAGGUGGAAUGCUUGGUGUAGAGGUGAAAUUCGUAGAUAUCAAGCGGAACACCGGUGGCGAAGGCGGCCUUCUGGACGGAUGACUGACGCUGA